GCUAACAGCCGAUCGUAUCAGCAAAGGGUGUUUGUGGAUUAUAAUGUUUUUGCUGUUGCCAGCGCAUAUGUGGAAGGAAACUGCCACGACAAGUUGAAUGCGACCUGGGACAAGUUGAUUGCAUCUUAACACAAUCUCAGGAGACAGGUGGUCACUCUGGUAGAGCUGGACAGGGCCAUCGAAGACCCUAAACCCGUCAGCGGGACCGGUGUCUCCUCCUUUGUUCAAGGGGGAACAGGAUGGGCACAGCCAGAGAUACAAAACGACCUCCAGCAAGCCACAGCUACAGGAGUUU